rnacentral:tmRNA from 1 species
GGGGGCGACCUGGUUUCGACGUGGGUUCUGAUGCGUCGCAGGGCAUGCCGAGGGCCAGUAUCCUCGUAAAUCCACCUGGAAACAAAGUAACUGCAAACGACUCACAGUUCGCAGCCGCAGCUUAAUUGCAGCGGCCCUCUCAACGGUUGGCCUAUGGGCCGGGUCUGAGCCGCAAGGCGAAGAUUGAGAGGUUAAUUUCAUAGGCUGGCUUGUGCCCGGGCACCUUGGGUAUGAGCGAGAUUUAGGGUGCUGGCUGGUGAGGUAGCGUGCUGCUGCGCGACCUGACUGGCGAGAUCCAAAACAGACAGCUACGCAUGUAGAACUGUACGUGGACGGCUUGCGGACGGGGGUUCAAUUCCCCCCGCCUCCACCA